CUGACGGGACCUCGAGGGGAAGCCCACUCCCUUGUCAUGGAAGGACAACUGGCACUAGUUGCCUGGACGGCUUCAGGGGCUCCUGGUCAGUUCACAACCUAUUGCAUCAACUAAGACCUCCUAUGGGACUCAUAGGCUCCCGGCACCAGGAAAGGCUAUAUUUCUGCCUGGUCGGCCUGGAGUGAGUGGUGUGUGGAAAGGGAUUCCGAUCCCUUUACCGCACCUGUCCCACUGACCCUCAACUAUCCGUCACACCUGGUCUCGUUGGGUCGGUCAUAUCGAUCCCUCAACGUGAUCAGAUCCGCCGAUAUACGCAGAUAUUGGCGGCGCACGUUCCGGUACAGAGCAGACCAGUAGGUCAAGAUACACUGGUUUGUCGACUACUGUGGGGUGUCGAAUUGUCGAGAUCCCUGCACCCAAAUAUUCACGCCUCUGGCAGGUGGAUGUGGUGCUGAGAUUCCUUAGGGAAUGGCCGGACAAUCCUUGUUUGUCACUGAAGCAACUUUCAGCCAAACUAGCCCUCUUAUUAUGCCUCGCCUCAUUUAGACGGUGGCGGACGUUAGGGCUUGCGAUAUGGAUGGUUUCUCUCUCACACCAGACGGGGUUACCUUUACCAUGUCGAGAUGAACUAAGUCUGUUUCGUCUUCAGAGUCAUACCCAUGCUUUGUGUCAGACGCCUCACUAUGCGUGGUCAGAACGCUAAUGGGGUACACCAAUAUCUCUACCCCCUUCGAACUCAUUCGACGGAUCACCUUCUGACUUCUUACGUGAACCCUCAUGGACCGGUGUCUACCGCAACACUGGCCAGAUGGGUCCGCUGGUUUUUGUCUUUAGCGUCGAACCUUGUUUCGGAGCCCACUCGGUCAGGGGAGCGGCGGCCUCACAAACCUUUUCGGCCGACGCUUCCCUAGCCGACAUUAU